GGAUGGGUGGGUGAGUGGCUGAAACCAACGGUUUGCUAAACCGUCGUACGGGGUUAACUCGUACCGCGGGUUCGAAUCCCGCCCCAUCCG
rnacentral:tRNA from 1 species